UUGAAAGGGAAACGAUUGAAGUCAGUCGUACCGACGGAGGAUCAACCUUUGAAAGCGGGUCGAGGUAUUCGAGGAGUUUAAAAGCCCUCUUGCGCUCACGUACUUCGUUUUCUUUGGUGCACUUCUUCGUAUGGUAGGUUAACAUCAAUUUUGGACGUUACAAAAUGACCGGGGGAAUGUAGCUUCGAUUUUUUCGAAGUGUUAUAGACCUUGGUAGAUGUGACGACCGGGAUUGAGGAUUGCAACGAAUGCUUUCGGGCUAUCCGUCUGACCUCUGGUGGUUGCUUUAGGGUCGAAAGCGUGCUUACGACUUUAAAGUUGGCUAUCAAAAGGCUAGAACGUGAUUAAAUUCGUUAAGGAUGUUGACGUA
rnacentral:rRNA from 1 species